UACAGAGGGUGCGAGCGUUACUCGGAAUUACUGGGCGUAAAGCGUGCGUAGACGGUCAUGUAAGUCGGGUGUGAAAGCCCCGGGCUCAACCUGGGAAUUGCAUUCGAGACUGCAUGGCUAGGGUGCGGAAGAGGGAAGCGGAAUUUCCGGUGUAGCGGUGAAAUGCGUAGAUAUCGGGAGGAACACCGGUGGCGAAGGCGGUUCUCUGGGCCUGUACUGACGCUGAGGAGCGAAAGCGUGGGGAGCGAACAGG
rnacentral:rRNA from 1 species